rfam:Gossypium hirsutum cultivar TM-1 chromosome 12, whole genome shotgun sequence
UGUUAAAAAUUUUCGUUCAUUUUUACUAUUAAAAACUGGUUUGGAUGACAAAAUAACUAGACAUGGCAUGUCACGUGUACUUCAUAUUGAUGUAUAUGGACUAGUUUUUAACAGUGGAAAUAGAUGGAUUUUUUAAUA